GAUGAACGCUGGCGGCGUGCUUAACACAUGCAAGUCGAACGAAGAUGCCGGAGUGCUUGCACUUUGGCAGACUGAGUGGCGGACGGGUGAGUAACGCGUGGGUAGCCUGCCUUAUACAGGGGGAUAACAGUUGGAAACGACUGCUAAUACCGCAUAAGCCCACGGUGCCGCAUGGCACUGCGGGAAAAGGAUUUAUUCGCUCUAGGAUGGACUCGCGUCCAAUUAGCUAGUUGGUGAGGUAACGGCCCACCAAGGCGACGAUUGGUAGCCGGACUGAGAGGUUGAACGGCACAUUGGGACUGAGACACGGCCCAGACUCCUACGGGAGGCAGCAGUGGGGGAUAUUGCACAAUGGGGGAAACCCUGAUGCAGCGACGCCGCGUGGAGGAAGAAGGUUUUCGGAUUGGUAAACUCCUGUCGUUAGGGACGAUAAUGACGGUACCUAACAAGAAAGCACCGGCUAACUACGUG
rnacentral:rRNA from 1 species